UGAGAUGUUUCCUCUCUCUUCAUCUCUUCUUUACACAAAGCUAGAGCAUUUUCUAUUUUUGCUUCUCUUCGCAUCUUCAUUCUAUUCUUUAUUUUUACGAUUUUGGUUUGGCUUUGAGGAUGGGUUGGGUAGCCAUGCAUUAUCUCGUCGUCGUUCUUGCACUCAACCGAGUUUCCCUUUUUGGGCUUGGCUUGGGUCUUGCAAGAUGUGGAAAAAGUUGCAGACUAAGGUGGCUGAAUUACCUAAGGCCAAACCUAAAAAUAGGGAACUACACCGAGGAAGAGGAGGAAACUAUUAUCAAGUUGCACAGACAUCUGGGUAACAGAAUUUGUGUAUAACUGCAGUAGAUCGCCCUAUUAAAGAGAUAUUAGAAAAGGAAAAAAAGGAGUUGGCUUAUUGGCAUUGGAGGAUUUGCAAAGAAAGUGAAAAGCACUACUUUAUCUUCAACUGAUCAAAUCAAGGAUUGUGGGGCAUAUCGUGAAUGUCCAAACUAUUCUUAUCAUAUUGAUAAUAGUGAUGCAUGUUACAAUUUGACAUUAUAUUCAUUUUAUGUUCAUAACAGCUUACUCAAAUUCACACAUGCACUAAAAAUGCAGUAACGUUAGAAGCAAUUUCUGCUUUUACAGUAGAGCUCUUCAUGUUACUAUAGAGAGUGUUUAUGCUCCUAUUCCUUUAUCCUUCGGGUUUUUGUUUCCUUGUGGUACACAAAAUUAAUUCAAUUGUUUAAUGUGCCUGCGGGAAAGUUUGCAUACUUUACUUCUGUAGUAGGAUUCAUUUCUUGAAAAAGUUUAGCAUGAGUUUGAAUGAUAGAAGAUGUUUCGUUAGAAAUAUUUCUUUGCAUGUAGGUUUCUACUGAGUGGCCUGGCUUUCCUCUUGGUGUAAAGUUUGAUCCUUCUGAUGUAGAACUCUUAGAAUGUUUAGCAGCAAAAUGUGGCAUUGGAAACACUCAGCAACACAUGUUUAUCAAUGAGUUCAUCCCAACACUGGAAGGAGACCAAGGAAUUUGCUACACACAUCCGGAAAAUCUUCCAGGAUACCAAGACAAUCCCUGGAGAAUCACAUGCUCCACAAUCAGAUAUUCAGGAUCAAGACUUUCCUGGCAAUGCUGCAUGGUUAGCUGGCGAAUCGCGGGCCGAGGAAAACACCAAAUAUGAUGGUUGUGACGACGUCUUAUUGUGCAAGGAGAUCUUAGAUUCUUCUGCUAUAUUAAAUGACCCUGGAUUGGACUCCACCAAUCUUGAAGACAUUGCAGACUAUGCUACCCAAAGGGCUAGAAAUGAUCAUGAAUCUUGGGGAAUUUCUAUCCUGGAUUCACUGGAAUUAGAUACUCCUGAUUUUGAUCUUUCUUUGGAUGGCAAAAUCAUUGCACCUACAGGCUCUGUAGCUUGGGGCUCUGGUACCUUGCAAUGGCUUGAAUUCUGAAAGCUUAACAAUAUUACAAUCAGAGGCAAAGGUGUCAUUGAUGGUCAAGGCUCUGUUUGGUGGAAUAAUGACUCUCCUACUUACAAUCCCACAGAAGUGAUGCUGGAAAGCAAAGGAAGACUUCCUAGCACAAAGCCAACACUAAGAGUCCUUUUGUAUCGUUGAACUUCUUAACAUAUUGAAAUUGAAAUUCUCAUGUGCUAUGCUAUUAAUUACUUCUUUAUUAUAAUUAGGCACUCAGGUUCUAUGGAAGUGAUGGUGUAACAGUCACAUGCAUAACAAUUCAGAAUAGUCAACAAACUCAUCUCAAGUUUGACUCUUGCACAAAUGUUCAAGUCUCGGGCAUUAGUGUUUCAUCACCUGGUGAUAGCCCCAACACUGAUGGAAUUCACUUACAAAAUUCUCAAAAUGUGGUUAUCUAUAGUAGCACACUUGCUUGUGGUUAGAGGGGAUAUAGCAAGGGCAUUAAUGUACAUGGCAGUCUGUUAUGGGUUCCAACAACCAAGGGGAAUCCCAGGCCUUCACCUCUCGGAUGCCCCAAAUGUUGAAAAGAGGGAGAUUGAACUCCUUUCCACUUUAUUAAAAUCGAAUGAAGUUGAUCCACCAUCGAGGGAUGAAAAACUGAGAAAUGAAAAGAUAUACAAAUUUUAUCAGCACAAUCGGAAUCCAUUUGUCGACCAUCCGAAGUAUGCCAUCCUUAUAUGGAAGCAACCUGUUUUUCACCAACUUACUAACAUAGUCUGAUUUUCAAUUUGCAUGCAGAGUUUGUAUUUUUGUUCUCAAGACAGUAUCCUUGAUGAGAUGGAUAUGUUAUGAGAUGCUCUAUGUAUGAAGUCCUUUUUGGUACCGAAUCCAGAAGUUGUUCCAUUCAAUUGCCUGGAAGGGCAACCAGCUCUAGCAUUAUGCAGUAGUGGGGACGUUAGAGAUUUAAACAUGGAAGACAUUAAAUAUGCUCAUCAGUAGGGUGUGCUUAUGAUAUUUUCGUGAUUCAAAUUUGUCACCAUGAGUAGGUCAGGGCAACCACGGGAUUUGAAGAAGGUGUUGCCUAGGAUAUUUCCGUGAUUCAAAUUUGUCACCAUGAACAGGGCAACCACGGGAUUUGAAGAAGUAAGUGUUCCUCUCAUUUUCACUUCAAUUUUAUUUUAUUUUAAUUUUUCAUGCUCUAUUACACUAGUUGGUCUUUUUUGUUUUGGGGAUUCGACAUGUACAUAAUUGAUUGAAUACAUGUUUUUAGCUCAUUAAACUGCUUGAUUAUGUUGAGUUUCACAUAUUUGUUGAUUGUUAACACCUUUUCACUUCGUGCAGGUUAAUUCUGGAAAAGUAUCAGCUACAGUAUGUUGUUAUCUUACUGGCAUUUAAUUUACACUGCCUAUAAGUUUGUUAUCAUCAUCAUCAUCA